GAUGAACGCUAGCUACAGGCUUAACACAUGCAAGUCGAGGGGAAACGACAUCGAAAGCUUGCUUUUGAUGGGCGUCGACCGGCGCACGGGUGGGUAACGCGUAUCCAACCUGCCCAUCACUUGGGAAUAACCUUGCGAAAGUAAGACUAAUACCCAAUGACAUCCCACGAAGACAUCUGAAUGGGAUUAAAGAUUUAUCGGUGAUGGAUGGGGAUGCGUCUGAUUAGCUUGUUGGCGGGGUAACGGCCCACCAAGGCAACGAUCAGUAGGGGUUCUGAGAGGAAGGUCCCCCACAUUGGAACUGAGACACGGUCCAAACUCCUACGGGAGGCAGCAGUGAGGAAUAUUGGUCAAUGGGCGAGAGCCUGAACCAGCCAAGUAGCGUGCAGGAUGACGGCCCUAUGGGUUGUAAACUGCUUUUAUAAGGGAAUAAAGUGGGUCUCGUGAGACUUUUUGCAUGUACCUUAUGAAUAAGGACCGGCUAAUUCCGUG
rnacentral:rRNA from 1 species